rnacentral:lncRNA from 1 species
GACGUAAAGUACACAAAAAUCGGAUCUAAAACGAAGAAGUUAUGAUAUAAAUAAGAUUGCCUUCAAUAAAAUAAUAGAUUAAAUCUAAACUCAGAUUUUAAAAAGUUGGAAACAUGUAUAAUAGUGCCACUAAUCUAUAGAUUACGCGAAAACGAAUCUAAUGCAAUUUGAACGGAUCAAAUCAGAGUUAAAGCGGAGUUUUUAUGAGUUAAAUAAGAUCAAUGGCAA